rnacentral:misc_RNA from 1 species
UCUGAAUAUCAUUAUUGGCAUUAUCAUUUUGAUUAUCAAUCUAAAUCUUCCUAGCUGAAGCUAAAGAAAAAAAACAUUGAAGAUUCUACAGUCUCUUUGUAACAUGUGUAAUAUUAAGCUGAGUCCUAAAAUGGGUGAUUGGUGGGGAAUUUAUUGGAGCACAUUCAAUGUAAAAUGAGAGACAAAAUUGGGUAGUUGUAGGGGUAGAAUAGGAAGAGCCUCCUGAAGGGAGUGCUUAUUCUUUGCACUUGAAAAGCUUUCUUGAUGCCUGAGGCAAUGUUGUGAAAUAUUGGGAUGUUAUAAUCAGAAAUAAAACUUGAUUAUUCAUUGUGAUGGGC